rnacentral:rRNA from 1 species
UACGUAGGGGGCGAGCGUUGUCCGGAGUUACUGGGCGUAAAGGGCGUGCAGGCGGUGCAGUAAGUUUGGUGUGAAAUCUCCCGGCUCAACUGGGAGGGUGCGCCGAAUACUGAGAGGCUAGAGUGUGGGGAGAGGAAAGUGGAAUUCCUGGUGUAGCGGUGAAAUGCGUAGAUAUCAGGAGGAACACCGGUGGUGUAAACGGCUUUCUGGACCAUAACUGACGCUGAUGCACGAAAAGCGUGGGUAGCAAACAGG